CUCCUUUUUGUCUGCCCAUCCUUCCUUUUUUCCCAGCCCUCUUAUAUCACUCCAUCCCUCCUUCCUUCCUUUCUCUCUCUCUCUCUCUCUCUCUCUCUCUCUCUCCUCUCUUUCCGAGCAGCGGGUGCCUUUAGAGAACGAAAUAGAUUAUUCAUUACCCCCUUUCUGUUCUUUGUGACUGAUUUGGUUUUCGACGAGCGUCUUGCCACGGAGAGAAGGAUGAAAACUUGUCAAAAAUAGGUUCUAUCUUAUUCCAAGGGGCAACAAUAGCAGCAGGUACAGACACCUUUUAAUAUUUAAUUAAGCCCAGUGUUAACCCUCCUUAAGUGGCUAGAGGGGUGUGAGCUUCAUACAGACAGGGAGAGAGAGAGAGAGAGAGAGAGAGGGAGGGGGGUGAUUAGUAAUUUGAUGUCUAAAGCCAUUUCAAUGCUUUUGCUUCUCCGAUCGCUAGACAGGCUAGUGUUUUAUGUCCUUGUCCAUUGUCAUAUGAUCAUUAUCUGAGGGGCUGGUGAGUUCGUCAUGUCCAAGGCUGAAGAUGCCUUUUAAGGUUUUGGAGAUUUAGGUUUGGGUCAUCUCUUCUUCAUUACGCAAGACCCAUGUAGGCGUAUGCCACAUUUGAAAAAUAGGGCAACCGAGAACCCUUCAACCACAGCGCAGGUUAAGCCUAUGUCUCUUGGUCUUUAAUACACAAACCAGGGGUCCUCUCGAAAACCUGUAAAAGGGGCCAAUUGUUCCCAGGACAAGUAAACUUCUCGGGCGGCGGCCCCUUCCGGUACAAAAUCCUGCCGUUUGUCAGCCGUUUAGGUGGACAAGAAUUGUGACAGGGAGCGUGUGAGCCGUUAUCCCUCUGACGGACGCACCUUAAACGGGAUAGGUAAACAACUCCGACCGUGGGAUCGCAAUGGGAGGGCAGACGUUUUAUCUCCCAGAGAGUCUCCGCUGUGAGGGACGCCCGCCCGCAGACCAGCGAGCCGAAGUCCACAAUGGCACCGUUUGACAAUACGGAUGAGUCUGCCUCUGUAUCGACUGUCCACACAAACGCAGACAAAAAUACAUUACACACGCAUCCUUCUCUACUGUCACACGUGCUGGAGCAACCCCCUAAACCCCCUUUCAUUCUAUGAUAGUAGAGAGAGGGCUACAGUAUGUUCCCCCUUUUUGUACCAGUCCAAGUAGAAUGGCUUUCUUUUUUUCCCCCGCUCUUCUUCUUCUCUUUUUUUUUUAUCACCAAAGCUGUUGUUUAUUUUAAUGGUGUUUACACUCACAAAGACAUGACAAUGACCCUGUUCUCAGUGGUAGGUCACAGAGCUACAGCCGUGUCUAGAACUCCUACCCUUGUGCUUGUGGGGCGAAGGAUGGAGUCGGAAUAGUGCAAUGACGAGUGCAGUUGGUUUGCGUGUUGCGUGUGCAUGUUUCGGUCGGUGUUCAAAAUGUCCAUCAAAAGUGUGUCUAGUAUCUUGAUGAUCAUGUCCAAGCAGCUGAACUCAACAUUGUGUUGCUUUUCAUACUUUUUUGGGGGCUGUUUAUUUUUUCCCCGAGACAUUUUUGUGGUUUCUGUAGAUGUGAAGAACGUUUGUGUUGUCAUUAAAGCAGUAUUGCAUUUCAACAACAAA
rnacentral:lncRNA from 1 species